GAUGAACGCUGGCGGCGUGCCUAAUACAUGCAAGCCGAGCGAACAGACGAGGAGCUUGCUCCUCUGAUGUUAGCGGCGGACGGGUGAGUAACACGUGGAUAACCUACCUAUAAGACUGGGAUAACUUCGGGAAACCGGAGCUAAUACCGGAUAACAUGUUGAACCGCAUGGUUCAACAGUGAAAGACGGUCUUGCUGUCACUUAUAGAUGGAUCCGCGCCGCAUUAGCUAGUUGGUAAGGUAACGGCUUACCAAGGCAACGAUGCGUAGCCGACCUGAGAGGGUGAUCGGCCACACUGGAACUGAGACACGGUCCAGACUCCUACGGGAGGCAGCAGUAGGGAGUCUUCCGCAAUGGGCGAAAGCCUGACGGAGCAACGCCGCGUGAGUGAAGAAGGUCUUCGGAUCGUAAAACUCUGUUAUUAGGGAAGAACAAAUGUGUAAGUAACUAUGCACGUCUUGACGGUACCUAAUCAGAAAGCCACGGCUAACUACGUG
rnacentral:rRNA from 1 species